rnacentral:rRNA from 1 species
GACGAACGCUGGCGGCGUGCUUAACACAUGCAAGUCGAACGGAAAGGCCCUGCUUUUGUGGGGUGCUCGAGUGGCGAACGGGUGAGUAACACGUGAGUAACCUGCCCUUGACUUUGGGAUAACUUCAGGAAACUGCGGCUAAUACCGGAUAUGAUCUCCUGCUGCAUGGUGGGCGUUGGAAAGUUUCGGCGGUUGGGGAUGGACUCGCGGCUUAUCAGCUUGUUGGUGGGGUAGUGGCUUACCAAGGCUUUGACGGGUAGCCGGCCUGAGAGGGUGACCGGCGACAUUGGGACUGAGAGACGGCCCAGACUCCUACGGGAGGCAGCAGUGGGGAGUAUUGCACAAUGGGCGGAAGCCUGAUGCAGCAACGCCGCGUGCGGGAUGACGGCCUUCGGGUUGUAAACCGCUUUCGCCUGUGACGAAGCGUGAGUGACGGUAAUGGGUAAAGAAGCACCGGCUAACUACGUG